GAGGAGCCCAGAGCCUGAAUCAGUGUGUGUGUUAGUGGAAGCGUCUGGAAAGGCGUGCGAUACAGGGUGACAGCCCCGUACACAAAAAUGCACAUAUUGUGAGCUCGAUGAGUAGGGCGGGACACGUGGUAUCCUGUCUGAAUAUGGGGGGACCAUCCUCCAAGGCUAAAUACUCCUGACUGACCGAUAGUGAACCAGUACCGUGAGGGAAAGGCGAAAAGAACCCCGGCGAGGGGAGUGAAAAAGAACCUGAAACCGUGUACGUACAAGCAGUGGGAGCCUCUUAAUGGGGUGACUGCGUACCUUUUGUAUAAUGGGUCAGCGACUUAUAUUCUGUAGCAAGGUUAACCGAAUAGGGGAGCCGAAGGGAAACCGAGUCUUAACUGGGCGUUAAGUUGCAGGGUAUAGACCCGAAACCCGGUGAUCUAGCCAUGGGCAGGUUGAAGGUUGGGUAACACUAACUGGAGGACCGAACCGACUAAUGUUGAAAAAUUAGCGGAUGACUUGUGGCUGGGGGUGAAAGGCCAAUCAAACCGGGAGAUAGCUGGUUCUCCCCGAAAGCUAUUUAGGUAGCGCCUCGUGAAUUCAUCUCCGGGGGUAGAGCACUGUUUCGGCAAGGGGGUCAUCCCGACUUACCAACCCGAUGCAAACUGCGAAUACCGGAGAAUGUUAUCACGGGAGACACACGGCGGGUGCUAACGUCCGUCGUGAAGAGGGAAACAACCCAGACCGCCAGCUAAGGUCCCAAAGUCAUGGUUAAGUGGGAAACGAUGUGGGAAGGCCCAGACAGCCAGGAUGUUGGCUUAGAAGCAGCCAUCAUUUAAAGAAAGCGUAAUAGCUCACUGGUCGAGUC
rnacentral:rRNA from 1 species